rnacentral:rRNA from 1 species
UACGAAGGGGGCUAGCGUUGCUCGGAAUCACUGGGCGUAAAGGGUGCGUAGGCGGGUCUUUAAGUCAGGGGUGAAAUCCUGGAGCUCAACUCCAGAACUGCCUUUGAUACUGAGGAUCUUGAGUUCGGGAGAGGUGAGUGGAACUGCGAGUGUAGAGGUGAAAUUCGUAGAUAUUCGCAAGAACACCAGUGGCGAAGGCGGCUCACUACACAAUGAUUGACGCUGAGGCACGAAAGCGUGGGGAUCAAACAGG